UCGGUGGGUCAGGAAGGCUUGCGGCCCAGAGGAGGUUGGCGAAACCUCGGUCCCCUGAUAUCUGCGACGGCGGGUGCUACUUCCGGCGGCCCGGCGAUGGAAGAUGCGGCGCUGGAGUUCCUUAUGGAUCCCAUCAACCGGUUUCCAUUUAGGGAGGAAUUUGCGGCAACCUUGAGCAUCCAGAUCCGGUUAGUCCUGCUGCCAUGCUGUGAUGCCCAUCCUGCUAUGCCGGCGGAUUCCAAUGGCAGGUCUGGUUGCGCACAAGAUGAGGGUCCGCGGCCCCGUUAGGCUGGCAGGCGAACUACGACGAGGAAACAAUGCUUCUCCAAAUAGGUUGUGGCUGGGGAGUGCUCCAUUGGACAUAACUCCGUGCACAUCGAAGAUGAGUUUGUUGGAGCAAUCUAUUUGCAAAUAUGCGGAGAAGCCUAUGAAGAGUUUAAUAAAAUCGGAGUUAGGAUUGACUUUCAACUCACUCGGGGAGGCCUACGACUUCUACAGGUCGUACUUGUGGGAGGUUUGGCUUUGGGAUCAGGUAUGGUAAGAGCAGAUUGAAUGCCGACAAGGUGCAGAAAAUAAUCUAUGGCUGCUCGGGGAAGCCAGAAGCAAGAACAAUCGGUCUUGUAGGUGCGAUUGCCCCGCAUUGAUAAGCCUGUUGCGGGCGUCCGACAAUAGCUGUUACUCCCUCCGUUCCAUAAUAUAAGAACAUUUUUGAUACUACAUUAGUGUAAAAAACACUCUUAUAUUAUGGGACCGAGGGAGUAUAUAACUGAGCAUCGUGAGAACAACAAUCAUUCUAUGUCGCGGACAAUGGGGGAGAAGGUCCGCUGGCCAUAGGUAGCGUUUAUGAAGAGGACUUUGAGGAACAUAUGUGGCUAGAUAAGUCAUGAGCAGACAAACGAUGAUGUGAGGAAAACUUUGGAGGGUUUUGCUGACAUUGUUGCAAGUGACCUGGACUUUUUGUCGAUAGCGAGAGCAGGGUCAAGAAGCUGAUGUGGACCAAUGGAAGCAGUUGGAUGCAAUACUGGUUCUUUGAAGAUGUCACUUUCGACAAUGACAUGCAAUUCGUGCUUUUUGUUGGGGUGAACAACCGUUUUCAGAGCAUUAUUUUGGCUGGUGUAUUGAUGAGGCACGAGCAGCUGAAGAGUUUCGACCGGGGAGUUUCUAAGGAUGAUAGGAGGAACCGACCCGAAAACUAUCGUCACAGGUUUGGCAGUGUAUUUAAUUUGCAGUUCACAAUCAGAAUAUUUGAACAUGCUCACUCAUGUUAUCUCACUGUGCGCAGACCAGAACAAAAUGUUUGCUGUCUUUUUAAUUUUUAUUAAAAGAAGCUGAUGUAUGCUGGUAGUGACAGAGUCAUGUUGUGAGGAGAACCAAUCUGGCAAAAGAGUGUCACACAAGCAUGAGCUAUGAUCGAGCAGUUCGGGUGAAUCCUAAUUGAAGGUACCGCAUACAAUGUUACGGAGGUUGAGAAGAUGAAGAAGUAUGUGACAAUGGACAACAAUGCGGCGAAACAUGAGAAGUUUAGUAGAGUUGUUUAAGAGGUAAAAAUCAAGGGUGACGGUACUGAAUUCGUGUGCGAGUGCAGUCAGUUGAAGCAUACAAGGAUGCUUUCCUGCCAUGUCCUAAGGGUAAUAUAUAUGCCUUCAAUUGGCUGUGGUUUGCAUACAGUGCAAGCAUUCGACUCUAUACGUGCAUGCUAUGCUAGCUCUGAAGCGUUAAGAGCACAACUCUAAUGAUUAAAGCUAGCGCUGAAGCGUUCAAGCACAUGUCAGCUGGCCUUAAAGCUCCAAUGGUGAGCUGUGAACCAUUGGCAGAGAAGAGGGAUGGUCUGGGAUUUGAAGACAUCAGGUUGCGAUCACUGCAGACAGGUUAACUAGGAAUGGCGACCUUGCAGUCCUAUCAAAUGGUGGUGCAACCCAGGAAGAUAAUUUGGGUGGUUCUGUGAGUGUGAAUGCACUUCAAGGCGAGCACCUCCGGAGAACCAAAGGGGUGUUGGCAGGCCGACAAAUAGCCGUGAGAAAGCACCAUAUCACUCUCUCAGCAAGCGUACUAGGUUUUGUAGCAUAUUCGUCGUGAAAAGCCCCGCAAGCCUGACAAAUGCAAGAACUGUGGUAUGGAGGGGCACCGUUGCAACACGUGUACAUGACCACUUGGUGGUGGGCAGACUUAGAAGUGAGGAUUUAAUUUGCCCGUAUAACUUGUAAUUUGAGGAUUUUCUGGUGUGUACUGCGAGCCAUGCUUAACGCUUGUUCCCCCAGUGCUUAUAGUGUGUACCAUUGUAAGAUUGUAACAUUGAGUGAUAGUGGUCGAAGUCUUUUGUAGUACUUUAUGCUAACU